rnacentral:rRNA from 1 species
UGUUGUGGCCAGCCCGCGCGGUAAUACGUAGGUGGCCAGCGUUGUCAGGAAUUAUUGGGCGUAAAGGGUGCGUAGGCGGCUCAUUAAGUGGGAUGUGAAAUCCCUAGGCUCAACCUGGGAACUGCAUUCCAAACUGGAGAGCUAGAGUGCAGGAGAGGAAAGCGGAAUUCCCAGUGUAGCGGUGAAAUGCGUAGAGAUUGGGAGGAACACCAGUGGCGAAGGCGGCUUUCUGGACUGUAACUGACGCUGAGGCACGAAAGCGUGGGGAGCAAACAGGAUUAGAUACCCUGGUAGUCCACGCUGUAAACGAUGGGUACUAGGUGUAGGGGGCGAAGCCCUCUGUGCCGCAGCUAACGCAUAAGUGCCCGCCUGGAGACGUCACUGU